AGUGAACGCUGGCGGCGUGCUUAACACAUGCAAGUCGAACGAGAACGGGAUAUAGCUUGCUAUAUUUGUCAGCUAAGUGGCGCACGGGUGAGUAAUGUAUAGAUAACCUGCCCUCUAGACAGGAAUAACAGUUGGAAACGACUGCUAAUGCCCUAUAUGCCUUUAAUACAUAAGUAUGCAAGGGAAACGCUUUAGUGCUAGAGGAUGGGUCUGUAUGGUAUCAGCUUGUUGGUGAGGUAAUGGCUCACCAAGGCUAUGACGCCUAACUGGUUUGAGAGGAUGAUCAGUCACACUGGAACUGAGACACGGUCCAGACUCCUACGGGAGGCAGCAGUGGGGAAUAUUGCGCAAUGGACGAAAGUCUGAUGCAGCAACGCCGCGUGGAGGAUGACACAUUUCGGUGCGUAAACUCCUUUUAUAUAGGAAGAUAAUGACGGUACUAUAUGAAUAAGCACCGGCUAACUCCGUGCCAGCCGCCGCCGUAA
rnacentral:rRNA from 1 species